rnacentral:rRNA from 1 species
UUGAAAGGGAAACGAUUGAAGUCAGUCGUACCAGCGGGAAAUCAACCUUUCGAGUGGGGGUUUUGGAGUUUUGAAGAGUUUCAAAACCUUUGAGAUUUCAAAAAUUUCGCUCUUUUGGUGUACUUUCUCGUGGGUAGGGUUAACAUCGAUUUUGAUUAUCAUAAAAAGAUUGGAGGAAUGUAGCUUCGAUCUUGUAUUGAAGUGUUAUAGCCUUUGGUAAAUGUGAUGAUUAGGAUCGAGGAUUGCAACGAAUACCCUUUUGGGCUAUCCGCCUGAUCUCUGAUACGUGGCCUUGGUAUCGAAAGCUUGCUUAUGGUAUUAAGGUAUUACGGUCAAAAGGUUAGAACGGAUUACAUUCGUUAAGGAUGUUGACGUA